ACGGGUGAGUAAUACAUCGGAACGUGCCCAAGAGUGGGGGAUAACGGAGCGAAAGCUUUGCUAAUACCGCAUACGAUCUACGGAUGAAAGCAGGGGACCGCAAGGCCUUGCGCUCAUGGAGCGACCGAUGGCAGAUUAGGUAGUUGGUGGGAUAAAAGCUUACCAAGCCGACGAUCUGUAGCUGGUCUGAGAGGACGACCAGCCACACUGGGACUGAGACACGGCCCAGACUCCUACGGGAGGCAGCAGUGGGGAAUUUUGGACAAUGGGCGCAAGCCUGAUCCAGCCAUGCCGCGUGCAGGAUGAAGGCCUUCGGGUUGUAAACUGCUUUUGUACGGAACGAAAAGCCUCUUUCUAAUAAAGAGGGGUCAUGACGGUACCGUAAGAAUAAGCACCGGCUAACUACGUGCCAGCAGCCGCGGUAAUACGUAGGGUGCGAGCGUUAAUCGGAAUUACUGGGCGUAAAGCGUGCGCAGGCGGUAAUGUAAGACAGAUGUGAAAUCCCCGGGCUCAACCUGGGAACUGCAUUUGUGACUGCAUUGCUGGAGUGCGGCAGAGGGGGAUGGAAUUCCGCGU
rnacentral:rRNA from 1 species